rnacentral:lncRNA from 1 species
CAGAACCUCUGGGCAAGAUGAAGCAUCCCCAGUUCCAGCACUGCUCCUCUCUGCAGGAUCCUGAGCUGCUCGAGCCCCUGGCAGUAUUUGAGGGGCUGGCCGAGCAUUUAUUCCUGGUUAAAGAGCAAGAGAACUCCAUGCAGCUUCUCCCUGGCAGUUCCAGACCCUGGCACAGGGACUGACCUGCUGGGAUUUGUCCCAGGUGUGGCCCCGGUGCAGCUCCAGGAGAGGAGGGGGGGAGGAUCCGGGCUGUGCUCUGGCUCGCCUGGGAAAGGUGGGGACUAGAUUUACCUGUGGGAUAUCGAGAUAAGAUUCCUGAGUGAUUUCCAGCGGUGUGAAGCCGUUCCAGCUCGGGACGCCGAGGAUCCAGAGAUCUGUGCUCAUCCCAGAGGUGCUGCUGCUCCUCAGAAAUGGAAAUAUUUACCUGCAGCCCUCCUGUCCCGGCUGUGACACCGCUCCCAGCAGCUCUCUGACGUGGCAAAGAAGCAUUUUGGAGCUGGAGUUGAGGGAGAGAAGCAAAGGAGGAGGAAACCUGCACCAGGAAGAGCCCAGGGAGAGGCACUGGGCUGGCCCCAGCUCAGGUUGGUCCUGAAAUUGGGGAGGUUUAGGGGGGAGCCCUGCCCGGGGGGUGUUUGCAACACAGGGCAGGAUCUGGCUCAGCUCCUUCAGCGCCUGUGUCCCCUCGGUGACCCCAGGACAGGUGCAGGGAAGGGGGGCUGUGUUUGCACCUCCUGGAGGUGCCAAAUGGGUCAGCACGGCUGGUUUGACCCAGGAACUUCAUUUGGGGCUGGUUAGAUCAGGUGUGGGGGGGACAGGACCCCUCAGGUGUGAGGGAGACAGAACCCUCAGGUGUGAUGGGGACAGAACCCUCAGGUGUGAUGGGGACAGAACCCUCAGGUGUGAUGGGGACAGAACCCUCAGGUGUGAUGGGGACAGAACCCUCAGGUGUGAUGGGGACAGAACCCUCAGGUGUGAUGGGGACAGAACCCUCAGGUGUGAUGGGGACAGAACCCUCAGGUGUGAUGGGGACACGACCCUCAGCCGGGCCGGCCCAGCGCAGCGCUCUU